UACGGAGGGUGCAAGCGUUGUUCGGAAUUAUUGGGCGUAAAGGGCGUGUAGGUGGCUCACCAAGUCUGGUGUGAAAGCCCACGGCUCAACCGUGGAACUGCAUUGGAAACUGGCGAGCUCGAGUAUUGGAGGGGGUCGCGGAAUUCCCGGUGUAGAGGUGAAAUUCGUAGAUAUCGGGAGGAACACCAGUGGCGAAGGCGGCGACCUGGCCAUUUACUGACACUGAGACGCGAAAGCGUGGGGAGCAAACAGG
rnacentral:rRNA from 1 species